CGCGUAGGCGGCUCGGCACGUCCGUUGUGAAAUCGCCCGGCUCAACUGGGCGGGGUCAGCGGAUACGGUCGAGCUUGAGCAAGCUAGGGGGCAAUGGAAUUCCCGGUGUAGUGGUGGAAUGCGUAGAUAUCGGGAGGAACACCAGUGGCGAAGGCGGUUGCCUGGGGCUUUGCUGACGCUGAUGCGCGAAAGCGUGGGGAGCGAUCCGGAUUAGAUACCCGGGUAGUCCACGCCGUAAACGAUGCGGACUAGGUGUCGGGGGUAUCGACCCCCUCGGCGCCGCAGCUAACGCAUUAAGUCCGCCGCCUGGGGACUACGGCCGCAAGGCUAAA
rnacentral:rRNA from 1 species